UUGAUUUGAGUGGUUUGAGUGGACUAGGGAGUGAGGAUGGGGUAUGACGUAAAAGAUUACGACGAUUUUGUGUCAUCUAGCGACGCACUUUUGUUGUUUCAGGGAUUGUUGGAUCAGCAGUUUCAGCAGCUUCAGAUGCUACAAGAUGGGAGCACCGCUGGCUUCGUGGCAGAGGUGGUGACCUUGUUCUGCGAGGAUUCAGAGAGGAUACUUACAGAGCUGACCAAAUUAAUGUAUUGCCCAUAUGUUUGUUUCAUGUCUGUUUGGAUAUAGAUUUCGAGCUCUUUUUGCUGAUUUACUUGAUUCUGAAAUGGUGCCGUGUGCUUAUUGUGCAGGGAUCAAGCUGUUGUUGAUUACUCAAAGGUGGAUGCUUACGUUCACCAACUCAAAGGAAGCAGCUCUAGGUUAUUGUCCUUUUCCUUUUUUUAUUUUGUCUUUCAUAUUUCUGUUUUUUUAUUAUGGAUUCUUUAAUGACAGGAUUGACAUUAUUUCCCACCUUGCUAUAUGCAAAAGAUUUUUUGAGACAAUCAUUUAGCUGCUCCUGAUAUGCUAUAACCCUUCUCCUGAUAUCCAUUUCUGACUCUCUUUUAGUUUUAAUAAUUGCCGAAAUCAUUGAAUCCUUAGCUUUAACUGGAUGUGCCAUUCUAACCUUAAAACUUAUUUAAGGUAAAUAUUAUUUUGUGGUUUUAAAUUUCUCAAAUUUGUUUUUAUAAUCUUUUAGGUGUUGUCUUGACUGGUUAUUCCCAUGUUUGAAUUUUUAAAUAUUUUAUUCGUGUGACUGGACUAGGAAACCCUCUCUCUCUCUCUCUCNNNNNNNNNNNNNNNNNNNNCUCUCUCUCUCUCUCUCGCAUGCGCUUGUUUACUUGCUCGCUUUCUUUUCCCCUCACAACCACAGGUAGAGUUGGUCUGCUUGAACAUCACCCUGAAUACUCAUCCCUGCACCUGCAUCCUUAUUAAAAGUUUCAUGGCUAGAGGGUUGCGAAGGCAGCCUCAAAAAGGCUUUCAUGUUAUAUAUAAUACGAUAUAGAAAAAGCAUACAAAUUUCACCUAAAGGUUACUAAAGUCCGACAUGUGCACUGCAUGUGAGGUGAAACUAACACUGUAGGAGAAAAAAAUUUGGUGGUUGCGAUGGAUUGGUGUCCACGCCGAGUCUUCCAAACAAGGCUGGCUUCACAUAGAGCAGUCUUGCAAUGAGGGCCCAUACCUGACAAAUUGAGAAGUUAAUAAAAAUACUAAGGAAAAAAAAAGGCAAGAGUGAGAAGGCAUAAGGCUUCCACAUGCAUGCUGGAAUCUGGGCUUUCCAAUCAAAUAUAGAGAUUCUUGACUUUAGCAAUCUAGAUACUAUGGUGGUUAUUAUGCAUGAAUACCCCAACCAGGACUUACUGACCGCCAUCCACUGAAUGCUGUUGUAAGGUUGUGACAAGCACAUGCCAAUGUUGAAACAGCAUUCUGUUCAUGUUCAGAUCAUCCUGGAAAACAUUUACUUAAUUUAAUUAGCAUAUAGAGCAGGUUUAACAUCAUACUUAGUGGGUAUAAAUUGUAUUUAUCUGAUAUCUCCUUCUGAGUUCUUAUUUUGUGCUUCAUUCUAUAUUGAGGACUUUGUCUAACAUGUUUCUAAGUGGGGUCCCUAUUUUGCAGCGUGGGUGCUCAGAACGUGAAACUGGCCUGCAUUCAGUUCCGACAAUUCUGUGAGGAGAAUAACAAGGAAGGGUCGGUAUUAGCAUAUUUUCAGUUGUGUGAAACUAAAAUCACAGAUAAUUUACUUUAUUAUUCUCAAACUCAUCAUGUUAAACUAAUUCUAGUUUUAAACACAACUUACUGGAUUUUCUUUUUCUAUUUUUUUGCAACUUAUGUGAUAUUUUAUUAGUUGUCUGUCCUGCCUUUUUACAUUUCACUACAGCUGAAACUCACCAAUUUGCAGAAUCUACAAUUUUGUCAACUUUUCUUUGCACGUGCCUGGUAAAUGUAUUCUGUAAAAUUUGUUGAAUGAUGUAUAAUUUAGGAUGGCUCCAUGCAUCUUCUCUUUCUCAUUUUUUAGCAUAAGAUCUAUUUUCUCAAAAUUUCUUCAGCAUAGUAUUUAUGAAAGCUUUAUUAAAAUCAUGAGUGAUUCCUCGGGACAGAAAACAGUUAAGUUUUAUAGACAAAAUUUACUAUCAAAGAAUAGUGUGCUGUAUUACACAAAACGAAAUUCUUAUCAGAUCAUCCUGCAUUGCUACUUGAACACAUGGAAAUACCAGUGAUGUAGAACGGUCUACAAGGGGAACAUACUAUUUGAAAAAGUGGCCCAAUAAAAAGAAAAAAAAAGGGUCUAGCCACCUUAGGUGCACAGUCAACCUAAAGUCAACCUGUGCCGAAGUGAUUGAUUGCUAUAGUCACAUCAUAAACAUAAUUUUUCCUUAGAAAAAAAAAUCAUCUGGCAUAGAUAGAUAUGCUGAUGGGACCAGACUAGUGCUGAGGAUAUCUGUCUUUUUUGCCUUCAUAUGUCACACGUCAUAGGAGAGGUAGCAGCCAGACUUGGGACCUUCUGAUAACAAGGAUUAAAAUUGCUGGAAAUUUCAGUUUGCACCUAAGUUUUGAUUAAAGUUGAAGUGUGAAAGAUGGACUUUCAAAGAAUGUGGUACCAAGGAUAUGAAACUAGAAAGUUUGAGAGUACUUCCUUACCAAAUUCAAAUUGGAAUCCGCAAUAUACUAUUAUAAUGGGAACUCUGAUAUGUGUGACUCCAAGUUUCACUCUAUUUUGUUUUCCUUUUCCUCUGUCUUUGAAUUUUAUCUUGAUUAUCUGACCCCAACACAGGGCACAUAGUGGAGGUGAUACCUGCAACUCCAUGCACUGUUCUCAUUCUUUUGCAUGAGACAGCACUUUUUGGCAUAUUCUUUUUUUUUCCCUUUUUUUAUUUUCUUAUUUCUAGCCCCUUUUGGUGGACUAACGUUAAGAUAAACAAAUGAUUUGAAGAGGCUCUGGAACAGCUGACUUGUGCAGCAGGGGUUAAAUCUCAAUAGAGGGCUAGUUAGCUGUCGGUAGAAUAAAGUUUGAGGAUUGAUAUUUGAAGGAAAAGAGGAAAAUGCAACACAUCCACCUAGCCAAAGUACAAAGAAAGUGGUCCACAAGGAGGUAGCACAUGCAUCUGAUGCUGAUCUAUGAAGAGAGGUAGUUGGAUAGGUUUCUUAAAGGAAGGUUCCUUUGGUGGAAGGUUGCUUGAUCUGGAAUUCACUUCUUUUCCAGUUGUCUGUUUCAUGAAUCAUAAAGUAAUGGAGCAGGCAAUGUUUAAUAAUGCCAAUAGGGUUGUCCUUAUCAUACAAAUAAGAAAUGAUCUAGAAAUAAAGGAAUAACUUAGCCAUCAAAUUAUAGAAAGUAGUGCUUGAAUAGUGAAUGGCUAGUGUUGUGCCUACAUGCCUAGGCAGUCCCACCAAGACCUUGGGCAACCACAAUGCCUAGGCACCUCAUGCUUUCAUAGCUGCUGAGUGAGACAACUGCCUGAGCAGCUAGGCUGGUGCCUAGUCUGGCACUUCGCCACUUUUUGAUGCUAAGGAGGGUGCCUAUUCAUGAUAUUAUUUAUCACUUUAAAUUCCAGCCAUGAUUCUUUAUGUAUAGUAUAGAAUUUAGUUGCUACCUAGUAAUUUGGGGUAUAUUUAAUGAACACAGUGUUUUCCCAUGUAUUUUCUAUGAAGAAAAUUCAUGCAUCUGCUAUAACUUGAUUAUAAAAGGCAAGAAUGUAAAAUUUAUUAAUUUUUAGAGAUUUUUUAACUCGAGGCAAUCUGCUUGACUGUAGCCUAGGCAUUUCAGCGACCAUUGCGUAGGCAUUUUGACAACCUUGCAAAUGACCUCGAGCUCUUAUAUUGGUUGGGAGAAAAUUCUCUAUAGAUCUCGUUGACCUUUUCAGGAGCAAAGACGUCACGGAAUGGCAAUAGAGGUGGAGUAUUUUUAGAAUGGCAUUUCUUCACAAUCACUUCUGAUGUUGUGGAACCAUGACAAUUAGGAUCUUAAGAUGCGGCAACACCUAUUUCUUCUCGUCUGAUAUGCAAAUAUUCGCCCACUUGAUCAACCAAGUUUCUGCCCAAAGCUAGCUAAUGAAUUUAUUAUUAAAUGGGGAACCACAAUAAUAAAAUUUAAUCAAUGGAUGCUCCAGAACUAAAGCUAUGUUCAUUCAAGGAUGAACCUUAACUUUGAACCCGCCAACCACCAUCUCUUCCUAUUUUUCUUCUUAUAUCGUCUCCUUUUUGCAAGGAAACUAUGAAUGGUUUUUGGAUGAAAAUGGAAAUGUUCUCUGUGGUUUUAGUUGGGUGGAUUCCAGGUUUUUUCUGAAAUGCAUAUGCCACUUUAACUUAUAUAUUCCUUUCCUUCUCCGUUUGGAAAAAGAAGCAACACACUUGUUUAGUUGUGCCUGCUAGGCACAUGAUGUUAUUUUUAUAGAUGAAUUUGAAAGAUGGAUUUUCAAAGCAUUAUUUUUUUUAAAAAAAAAACUUCAAAUUAUAUAAUGAUAUUAAGGUAAUGACUAAAAACAUAAACACCAAUUCAUUUGAAGAGACUAUUUUGAUGCAUGUAGAAUGUUGAAGAUAUCAAAUAAGCUUAGUGAAGCUAAUUACUGAAUCUUUGAAACCUUUAAGAUACUUAAGUUGAUAUUGCUAUGGAUACAGCUCUUAUACUUUCCUUUUAUACUCUCUUUAAAGUAACUGGCAUUAUUGUGUUUAUGUCUAAUUUAUUUGAGGACCUUUACCCAAGUUGAUGCAAAUUCAUUUUCUCAUCAGGUGUGUGAGGGCUCUGAAUGUGGUCAAGCAUGAAUAUUGUCAUCUGCGAAGCAAAUUUGAGACCAUGUUGCAGGUAAUUUUGAUAUGCUAAUUUUAAUUUUACAUUUGGAAUUGAGAGCAUAUCUGAGAAAACCUUUCUUUGGUUUCCAUCACCUAUUAAUUAUUUUUUGAUUACAUAAAACUAAUUUAUAUAUUUAGAGGUUUCAACUCUCUUUGCUUCACUUGUUCUCUCUCCUUUCAUGGAGAAAUUUAAAGUUCAACCUCAAGCCUCCUUGGAAUAUGGGGUUCUUGGAUUUGCUAGCAUCUGCAUAUUUAGGUUGGGCUCCACUUUGCUUCCUCCUUUUCUUUUUUCCAUGUAUUCUUUAUAAGGAGUGAAGCCAGAAUUUUUGGUAAAACUUUAGGCUUCAAUACUAAUGCUUGAUUAUGCAUCUUGAAACAACAUGAUAUCUUAAGGGGUAAUUAUAGUUUUCCUCGAUGUCAUAUUGAAAUUGUGAACUCUACAACAUUGAUGAGUAUCUUCAUUUUCACUUUGCUCAAACGGAAAGAAAGGUUGUUCCUUGUUGUUGGUGCCUGCAUCUGCAUCAGUGAUGCAAAUCUUGGAGGAGUUAAAUGGUCAUCUUAUAUGAAAUAGCAUGGUUUGUGUUCCACACCACCAAAUUGUCUUCUGUAGAGUAGAUUGUUUUCAUGCCUAUCUUUAUUGAAAUUCAUAUGUAGGUUUCCGACUCAACACCCAAUUAAUUUAGUUAAAUUGGUGAUCCUGGGCCUUUAUUGUGAGCACUGCCUGCAGUGUUGCAUUGACAUGAAUAUAAGAUUCAAAUUCAAAAACGCAUUCAGAUGUUUGACUCAAUAAUAGGAAAAACUAGCAUAGAACCCAUGCGAUGCAUAGGGUACGAUUUUUCCCCUUUUUUCCAACUAUUCUUGAUAUGCAACUUAGUAAUAUAACAAAAUAUACUCAAGGGGUAUCUCUGAAAGUGAGACAUUACAUUGUGUCAUUGGCAUCCACAUGGUGAAUGGAUAACUCUACACAAGUGCUUCUAUGCAGAAACUUCCAUCCUUAAUAUCGGUGAUAUGGCUUUCCAAAAUGUGUUCCAAUCUGAUAGAUUUGGAAUCCCUCCAGCCAAAAAGGCUCUCUAAAAAAGAGGCUGACCUCGAUCGAAAAUUCGAGGAGAUGAAUAUUAAGAUGGAAGCCUUGGGAGAAAGGCAAGCCGACAAGGGAGAAGAUUUGGAAAUUACCACCAAUUUGCCUUUCUCCAAGGCAAUUAUGGACGAACCGCUGCCAAGGACAUUCCAGAUGCCCCAUUUCAAGGUGUAUGAUGGCAUUUCGGAUUCGAUGGACCAUCUCGAGAGCUUAAGGCUCUCAUAAUGUUAUAGGGGCUAUCGAUGCAGUCUUAUGCCGAGCUUUCCUAGCCACUCUGAGGAAAGCAGCAUGCCUUUGGUGUUCCAUCCUCCAACCACAACCCAUUCAUUUUUUUUUAUUAGUUCAAUCGACAGUUUGUGACUCACUUUGUGAGCAAUCGAAGGCAGAAGGACACCACAAAUCUAUUCACAAUGAAGCAGAGGGAAGACGAGUCGCUCAGGAGUUACAUCAACCACUUCAACUUGGAGAUGUUGCAGAUUCAUGAUCUGGAUGAGAAGAUCACAGAAUGAACAACAAAGAGUAGGCUGAAAUCUUGUUGCUUCUACUUCUUGAAAAAGAGGACUUCGAAAGAUUUGGUCGAGCUGCUGUCUCGAGCUAAGAAGUAUAUCAAGAUCGAGGAGGCAAUGGCAGCUCGAAAGGAGGAGAAUAGAGCUAGAAAGGGUAGAAAAAGGGGCCGAGAAGAAAGAGAACCCACCAAGAGGCCCAUAUGCGAAGGGGACAACCGUCGAUGAUCAAAUAGCCCACAAUCAAAAUUUGACGGAUAUACUCCUCUCAACAUACCUAGAAUCCAGAUAGAAUGUCGGGAAUAUUUGUAGCGGCUAAAGAUAAGGACCUCAUCAGCAAUCAAGAAUCCUAGAAAAUACUAUCAUUUUCACAAGGAUCACGGCCACGACACUGAAUAGUGCGUCAAACUAAAGAAUAAGAUUGAAGCUUUUAUCGGCCGAGGACAUCUUGGUCAGUACGUGGAGAACCAACACCGAGAAGAGGGAGCGCGAUGGGAUAGGCACUUACUGGAGAAGUUGGAAUACCACCGACCCAUGGUAGGGUCAUUAAUACGAUAUUAGAAGGACCUGCAAUAGGACGGUCGAGUUUGUUGGCUCAAAAGAAUUAUGCUUGAGCAACUCAAAGUGGGGACUUGGCCCUGAAGAUACCAAGAUUCGAGAAAGUCAUCUUUCUCAGGUGCCAAUCUGAAGGGGGUACAGACCCUCCAUGAUGUACGAAGGAUUUUACUAGAUAAUGAAAGCUCUACAGAUAUCUUGUUCUACGAGGCAUUCUAGAAAAUGAAUAUGCAUGCAGAUCGGCUAGGGAGAGUUGACUCUUGUUUGAUCAAUUUCUCUAGUUACUCUGUACUGGUGGAGGGAGUAAUCACCAUUUCAGUCACAGCUGAUCAGAAACCUCGACAGGCGACUGUCACACUAGACAUUCUGGUUGUUAAGGUCCCCUCAGCAUACAACACAAUCCUUGGUUAGCCUGGAUUAAACAUGAUGUGAGUUGUGCUAUCAACCUACCAUUUGAUAAUGAGAUUCCCUAUGAGCAACAAAGUCGGCGAAUUAAGAGGUGAUGAGGCAGUAGUUCGAUAGUGCUACGUCGCCAUCCUCAAAAGAACCACCAAAUCCUUGAAGACAUUACCCAUCAAAGAUCUAGACAUCCAGCAUGAGCAGAAGGAAUAGUGUGGAGAACUAGCCAAGGAACUUAUCUCUGUUCCUGUUUUUGACGAAGAAGACAAUCAGACAAUUCAUAUUGGCUUGUUAUUCGAUGAGGAAACAAAGAACUUGCCUCUCUCAGCAAUUAGAUCGGUUCUUGUUUGGGAAGAGCUCAGAAAUUAGAAGCUUGUUAUUAUGUGAGCAAGCUACUUCCAGGUGUCAAAACAAAGUACCCAAGAAUGGAAAAAUGGCUGACGCUCUAAUGAUCUCAACUUAGAGGUUACGACCAUACUUCCAAGCUCUUACUAUCAUUGACAUGACUGAUCAACUAUUGAAGUAGGUAUUACAGAAGCCAGAAGUUUCUGGACGCUUGAAGAGUUCGAUAAAUUAUCAGCACCGGUCAGCUAUUAAAGUACAGGCAUUAGCCAACUUCAUUGUCGAGUGCAUGAUGCUACAGGAAGCUAAGUCUGAGGAUAGAAGCCGAGCUCGAGCAACAAGAAUCAGAGGUACAACCCUUUUGGAUGCUUCAUGUUGAUGGAUCCUCCAAUGCAAGUGGAUGUGGAGCUGAGCUGAUCGUCGCCAACCAUGAGGACGUCGUGGUCGAGUAUGCCCUAAGGUUUAACUUCAAGAUCUCCAACAAUGAAGCAGAAUAUGAAGCACUAAUCACCGAAUUGAGGUUAGCCCAAACCUUUGGGAUAACCUAACUCAAGACUUAUAGCAACUCCUAGCUCGUUGUUAAUCAGGUCCAAGAAGAAUAUGAAGCCCGAGAUUCUACAAUGGUGAAGUACUUAUAGAAGAUGAAGGAGAUUUCCUCUAUCUUUGACAAGUUUGAAAUUCUACAGAUACCUCGAAAAGAGAAUAUGAAGGCGGAUGUCCUAUCCAAGUUAGCCAGCCCAUGAUGCUCCGAUCUGAGCGAGACUUACCUUGAAGCACUUGACAAACCCAGCAUUGAUGAGAAUCAUGACCAAGUACUCCAAAUAAAAGACGAGCCAAGUUGGAUGGAUCUCAUUGUUCGUUACCUCAAGGAGGGAGAACUCAUCGACCAGAAGGAGGCUCGUAGACUCAAGCAUCAGGCUACUAGGUAUACUUUGGUCAGCGACCGACUAUAUAAGAGGUCUUUUACUUUGCCAUACCUCCAAUGCCUUCAACCUAUUGAGACCGAGUAUGCCCUUCGAGAAGUUCAUGAAGGCUCAUUUAGGGGGCAGGGCCCUAGAGCAUAAAGAACUAAGGCAUGGAUUUUAUUGGCCCACAUUGUAGAAAGAUGCUGCUAAGUUUAUGAAGAAGUUCGAUUAGUGCAAAAGAUAUGCCAAUAUUCAGCACCAACCGACUGUGGAGUUAAUUCUGAUCGGCAUUACGUGGCCAUUCGCCGAGUAGGGAUGGACAUUCUUUGUCCUUCCAACAAGCUAUCGAAUAGAGGAAGUUCCUUAUCGUCGUUGUCAACUACUUUAUAAAAUAGGUCGAGGCGAAACCAUUAGCUCGGAUCACUGAGGAUAAUGCACAGCUUCAUUUGAAAAUCCAUUAUCUGCCAGUUCGGGAUUCCUCAGGCUCUCAUCACCAACAACGACCAAUAAUUUGAUAAUGCUCGAUUUAGAGAUUCUGCUUCGAACUCGACAUCGACCAUCGGCUCACCUCAGUCGACCAUCCCCAAGCCAAUGGAGAAGCUGAGGUGACUAAUUGCACUAUUUUGCAAAACUUGAAGACUAGACUUGAUCAAGCUAAGGGCCUCUGGGUAGAUGAGCUGCCUAGUAUUUUUUGGGCCUAUCGAACAAUUCAUCAGACACCGAUCGGAGACUCCUCUUAAAAUCUCCUUUGGCACUGAAGUCGUCAUUUCUAUGGAGAUUGGCAUUCCGUUCUAUUGGGUGGAGAUAUGACGAGCAAGCUAAUGCCUAGAACCUCUAUGCCGAUUUGGACCUAUUGGAUGAAGUCAAGGAAUGAGCUUGGAUCAAGAUGGUUGCCUAUCAGCAACGGGCGGCCCGAUACUACAACUCCCAAGUCAAGGCAAAGCUCUUCCGACAAGAGGACCUCGUCCUCAGAAAAGCCAAGGUUGCCUAACAAGAUGACCGCCGGAAGCUUGCACCCAAGUGCGAGGGACCGUACAGAGUUGCGGAAGUCAUCCGAUGCAUAUUGACUUGAACAACCUGACGGAACUCCAGUACCUUGGGCAUGGAAUUCUGAUAACCUCCAAGUGUACCACUGGUAAGAGAAUUUCGAACUCUAUACGUUAUUGCUAAUAAUAAAUAAAGUUUGUCUUUGUGCUCCAAAAUAGCUGAGUAAUGCUGGUUUUGAUACAUCACCGCUGACCAAGAAAUCUUUGAUAACGAUGGAUCGGGCGAGUUUGCCAAAGACCCCCAGUCAAGAUUUUUGUGGGCCUAUCUAAAAAGCUGAAGCGUCAAAGCAUGGACGAAAUGUUGGGUGAGUCUCCCAAGGGACCAUCGAUGACACCACACUCAAGCGUCACAGGGUGAACAAGUCUCCCAAGAGAUUACCAAUAUGUUAUUCCCGCGGGCCUACCCAAGAUAUCGAAUAGCCAAAUCAUGGAUGAACUAUUGGAUGAGUCUUCCAAGAGACCACUGACAGCGCCGCACUUGAGCGCCGCAGGUUAGGACGAGCUUUUGGAGAAGCCACCAGCUUAUUAAUGGCCAAGAACCAAUGAAAGAUCCAGUCAAGGCUAGGCUCGAAUGGGAAGAAGUAUGCUCGGCUUGAUCAACCAGAUGCUAGCUAUCCAAAAAACCUAAUCGAUAGAAUUCCUGGUGAGCCAAACAAUUCACCUUUCCAAGCAAGGGGAACCAGGCAUCGAGACGAAGAGUCGAAGUCCGAACAAAUAACCAAAGAUCCAGAGAGCCAAACGAUCCAUCUUUUUUAGGCGAGGGGAAUCGGACACCGAGAUGAAGAGCCGAACUCCGACCAAAUACUAGGAGGGUUGAAUAACCCGCCUCUGUAGGGAGGAAAUAAGGCACCAAGAUCGGAACCCAAACUACACAACAAUGAUAACAUGGGCAUGACCCACUGACCAAAGAUUGUCUACGAACAAGGGACAAGGGUCCGACCUAACUAUGAACGCACCCAUAAAAAUCUGCUCUGAAGUUCUCGACCUCAUCUGGUCUAAAUAGGGACUCAGUAAACUCCAACCUCUAAUCUACGACCUAUAUGCCUAUGCCUAAAAAAGGGACAAGUCUACAACCUUGACAAAAUAAGCUGAGAAUGAGGAGUAAGAUCCCCACACAAAGCAGGCAACUCCUGCCUCGGACUCCGACACAUUGGUCCAAAUCAAAGACAAGCUGCCAAGGCAGCCUGAACAAAUCUCGACCAGCUUAGGCGUAGGAAAACGAGCUAUAAAACUUCGUUUCGCCUAAACAUCAGGAAGCCAACCUACAGCAGUUCGUCAUGAAGGAUAACCGAUGGAAGGACGCCGAAGAAAGGAUGGAGAAAGAAAGAAGGGAAAGGGUGGAAGCUUCCAUCGGAAUAGAUAGCUCCAAGAGAUGGAAAGGCGAUUGCAAAGUGGGAGGAAUCGCCUCAGGCUUCCGCCCCUUAUAUAGAGCUGCGGACGAUGCUGAUCACAUCAUCUGUCCACUCAUUUGUCUAUCAGCUGCCACAUGCAAACUCAACAUUUUGGGUUUAUGCGCUCCCAUAGAUUGUUCCAUUAUCAAAUUGCGAGAAGGAAUGAUGGUAGCGGCAAAAAUUUUACCCGUAUAUGCGAUGCUUCAAAAACAAAACCGAUCUGUGGAAUCAUGCCUGUCAUUGAAUGCAGUUUUUUUGGAGUGCCCAAGGUUGAUCUAACAACUCAAAUUUAGCUCUGUUGGCUCACUCGACAAAUGAUUUAACUACUUCAUUUGAGUCGAGCAAGUACAGCUUGGGCUCAAAAGUGGGGGGCAAGUGAUAUGGCUUGGAUUUUCAAUCCCUAAAAUAUCGCAUGACAGCUUAGCUUGCCGAAUCGAACGACAAUAGGCGUCCAAUGAAAUCAACAAUCAAGCAAAUCUUCAAAUAAUUAGCGAUUGUUAUAGCUUGGUGCAAUCUCAAUCCGUCCAAAAAAGAAUAUUGUAACUGACCAAUAGAUAAGAAAAGUGCUUAAUUAUAGCGCACCUAAAAAGGAAUAUCCCCACCGCCCCAAUUAGCAAAUAUGGAAAGAGCUCAAUUGCUCGUUCGCAAAUCUCAGAGCCCUAAUCAUGCAGAUUCGCAUCCCUUUCUCUAUAAAUAUCUAGCACGGGGAUCCCUCGGUACAACAAAGGAAGCUCCCAUCACCAUAUUCUGAAAUUUCUACCUCUCUUUUACCUCUCCUAUUUCCUCUCAAAACUAACUAAAGCAUCGGAGGAUCCUCAGUUGGACAUGUUUCUAGUGACCUCCUGAUCGUUUUAUGUGGUUGUAGAAUAACUCCAGCGCCGCGCUACACUUCUCCAACUCUACCGAACAAAGCAGCUCACUUGUCAGCCUGUCCAUCUGUCAGUUCGAAUUUUGAGCGUCAACAACUGGCAUAUUUAAUAUGAACCCUGUGUGAUGCGGAUUUUUUUCUUUUUCCAACUAUUUUUGAAAUGCAAUAUAACAAUAUAACACAUUAUAAUAAGAAAGCUUUAAUAGUCAAAUUUUUAUUGCAUGUAAGCAGUGAUCUUUAAUGAUGACCAAACAUAUUAAUACUGGCACGAUUAAUAUUUGUGUCUAUAUGGCGAAUGGAGAAGUUUGCACAACUGAGCCUCCAUAUAAUAUAAUAGAAGAGAGAUAUGGGAACUUAGAAUAACAUAUAAAUUUAUCUAAAUUAUAUAUUUAUACCUUUAAAUGUUAUCUAUUUAAACAUUAAAAGGAAAACAUUAGAAAGGCACUAUUUGCUAAGAUCUUUUAAUAUAAAUUAAAUAGAAAGGCACUAUUUGCUAAGAUCUUUUAAUAGAAGAGAGAUAUGGGAACUUAGAAUAACAUAUAAAUUUAACUAAAUUAUAUAUUUAUACCUUUAAAUGUUAUCUAUUUAAACAUUAAAAGGAAAACAUUAGAAAGGCACUAUUUGCUAAGAUCUUUUAAUAUACUUUUCUCUCUUUUGAACUUUCUAAUUAAUUUAAGGCUAGUAACAAACUAAUAUUUUGCAAAGAUGUUAUAAUGUUCGCAUUCUUAAAAAAUUUCGAAAAAGAACAACUACUCGCUUCUAAUAUCAAAUUUGAGGAUCAAAUUCGUUAUUGAAAGAGUUUAACUCACUCAUUGUUGGAAGAGUCCAACUUUUUUCUAAUUUUUAAAAGUGUCUACUAAAAAAACGUCGUAAGUAUCUAAGUAUCCGAUAUGUAUCCAAGUCAGAUAGAUAUCCAACAUGGAUUUUCGGAGCUGGACAUGAGGUAACACUGCUUACUUGCAUUCCUCAUUAGAGAUGCUGUUAUUUAAUUGGUUUAAAUUAUGAUCGUUGAGCCCUUCUUAUGAGCCCUUAAGUGCAUUCCUUAUAAAGGGUGCUGCUGCAUUUUCUUCAAGUCUUGUUGUCUUCCAGCUUUACUAGAUAACUGAAUGAGGUUGACACUUGCACUAUUAAGAAAAUUUUCUAAUAGUGGUGUUAAAUAGUUAAUUUUGAAAAUUGCCAUGAUAACAUGGAGUUGUGUUGACAUUAUAAUUAACUUUCUUGAAUUAGUCAUCAUCUGUUUUUACAGCAGCUGCUGACACCGAAUGCAGGGAAUCAGUAGUGAGAUGGUUUAGUGGAUUUUCCUCGAAUGUUUUCAUCAUUAGUUUUAUAAUUAGCAAAACUGUUUCGAGAUACUUGUACCUUAUUAAAUUUGUGUACCGGUUUAUUCAUCUUAGCUGACCCCAACUAGUUUGAGGUUAAGGCUUAGUUGAGUUUAGUUACCUGUUUAUUAAUCUCUGGUUUUCUCAUGGACUUUUUUUGUUUAAUGCAGCUGGAGAGCAGAAUUCAAGCUUAUGAAAAUAAACAGCAAAAUUAGAAUUUCUGGUGAUAUCAUCUUAGUAGCUUCUUGUUUCUUUAAGUUAUUGAACAUCUGCAGUAUCCUGAAAUAACUGUACGACAAAUACAUGGUGAGAUCGUGUAAGAAGUUCUGUUAUGUAAAUUAAAUCAAAAAUUCUGCAGGGUAGUUGAUAAUUAAACUGUCAUGGCCUCUUACCAUUUCCAAAUUUGGUGCUGUAAAGUAAUUUAAUCUUUCAAAAUGGGCGAUAAUGCUUGAUCAGCAUUUGAAGCCUGUGUCAGUGUUACAGUUUUUGGAUCAACAUUCAGCAGGAAGCUUAUUAGUUAUAUUGUUGCCAUGUAGCAUUCUGAAUGAUGAGUGCUUGUUGUCUUGCACUGGCUUCUUUACGCAAGGAACAGGAUGAUGACAUCUUUGUAGAUGGAAUAAUAACAGCAAUUUUCCUUAGCAUAUACAUUUCAGAAGGCUUUUGUUUGAUGUUUGCUGAUAAAAUGAUCUGACGAGCAGUAUUUGUGCAAUCUGCAUGCACACAAACAAAAGCGUCGUGGUGUUGUCUGUACGUACAUGCAUGUGGUUAGGGUGCAAACUUGGAGAUUUGUGGACGUGAAUUUUUCAGAAACCGUUUGCUGACACACGAAGAACUGCAAGGUGCAAUCUACUGUCUACGUACAACACCAGUUUUAGGCCCUGCAUAUGAGACAAAGAUCAUGUAUGUUAUGGGGCACCACUCUAGGGGCACCAGAAUGUACAUUAAAAAAAAGGGAAAAUAAAGGGAAAGUGGAUGCUGAUCAUCAAAUUUCUCACAGAGAGGUGGCAAUAACAGCCGUUGAUCCUUGAAUCCAACAUGGGGACCUCUGGUGGCAAAUGCAGUAGCAGACAUCGAACUGUCCCAGUACUCAAAUGGGGAGGAGGGAGACUNNNNNNNNNNNNNNNNNNNNNNNNNNNNNNNNNNNNNNNNNNNNNNNNNNNNNNNNNNNNNNNNNNNNNNNNNNNNNNNNNNNNNNNNNNNNNNNNNNNNNNNNNNNNNNNNNNNNNNNNNNNNNNNNNNNNNNNNNNNNNNNNNNNNNNNNNNNNNNNNNNNNNNNNNNNNNNNNNNNNNNNNNNNNNNNNNNNNNNNNNNNNNNNNNNNNNNNNNNNNNNNNNNNNNNNNNNNNNNNNNNNNNNNNNNNNNNNNNNNNNNNNNNNNNNNNNNNNNNNNNNNNNNNNNNNNNNNNNNNNNNNNNNNNNNNNNNNNNNNNNNNNNNNNNNNNNNNNNNNNNNNNNNNNNNNNNNNNNNNNNNNNNNNNNNNNNNNNNNNNNNNNNNNNNNNNNNNNNNNNNNNNNNNNNNNNNNNNNNNNNNNNNNNNNNNNNNNNNNNNNNNNNNNNNNNNNNNNNNNNNNNNNNNNNNNNNNNNNNNNNNNNNNNNNNNNNNNNNNNNNNNNNNNNNNNNNNNNNNNNNNNNNNNNNNNNNNNNNNNNNNNNNNNNNNNNNNNNNNNNNNNNNNNNNNNNNNNNNNNNNNNNNNNNNNNNNNNNNNNNNNNNNNNNNNNNNNNNNNNNNNNNNNNNNNNNNNNNNNNNNNNNNNNNNNNNNNNNNNNNNNNNNNNNNNNNNNNNNNNNNNNNNNNNNNNNNNNNNNNNNNNNNNNNNNNNNNNNNNNNNNNNNNNNNNNNNNNNNNNNNNNNNNNNNNNNNNNNNNNNNNNNNNNNNNNNNNNNNNNNNNNNNNNNNNNNNNNNNNNNNNNNNNNNNNUCUCCGACUCAGGCAUAGAUAGAGACGAUAGAGACGUGCUUGAAGCAGCACGCAAAAGAAAAUAAUGAAGGAUAUUUAUGUUAUAUCAGUACAUUAUAAUAAAAAAUAGCAGCCAUUAUAUUUUCCACUGUAAUGAAGGAUAUUUAUGUUAUAACAGUACAUUAUAAUAAAAAAUAGCGGCCAUUAUAUUUUCCACUGUAUUUUUUUUUUUUUUUGCUAGACUCCACUGUAUGUUCCUUAACAACAUAAUGAUAACUAGUAGAAACUCUAAUAAUGGCCAUUAUAACAGCGAUAACACUGCCAAAACGGUGAUAUAAAAAGUACACUGUGCAACAGUUGUCAUUUUGCUUUCAGGAUCUCAAUCAAGCGGAGCAUUGGCACGAUCAUCUAAGUACUGGCGAGUCUAAGUACUGUACAACGGUUGUCAUCGCACUUGAAAAAUAUCAGGUGCUGCUUCUAGUGGCAGACAGGAAGAACAUUCAGCCGCAUUUUAUAUUUUCAAUAUACCACAGAUUCCAAAUCUGUCAAUAUCCGGUAGCCACUGAUUGAUUGAUGUUACAAUCAAAUGGCAGUUUCAGGAGAGCCACUGUCUCACCAUCAAAAAGUAUGCGAUAUUAGGCCUAGCAUAAAUUUAUGCUCUCCUAUACUCAUCACCGCAGUCGCCAAUUACUUCAAGCAAAUCCUUUCCUUUUUUGGAUACCUCUGUGAUUUCGUUCAUAUCUUCUUCAUCCAAAGCUAGAGAAAACACAGCGUUUGUAUCCUGAAUAUGUUCUGCAAGACCAAGUCUAACACCUACCAUUGAUCCGGCAACUGAUGGCUGCUCUCACAAUUGAACCAAAACAAGAUACAAUAAGAAAAUCAAUCACUGUAAGAGUUGUCGAUCCACUAAUAUUAUUCACAACAAAUAUUAGAUUACCAUUUUAUCGUAAUUUGAUAUAAUUGGUUUUACCUGAUCCAGUAUGUAUCCAACAGCAACAGUUGGGAUUGAGACCCCAUGUUUGGAAGCUACCCUCUUCAGUGUCUGCAGCAAAGCUUGGAAGAGUCUCCAUCCCCCCCAAGCAUCAACCAUCUGUCAAAGUUUGCAAUGAAUGCCCGGAAUGUGAUUUUAAAACAAAUUAUGCACAUCUGUGUCGACAGUUAAGUGUAAGAAAGCAGCCUGUCUAUCAAAAAAGCGUACCCUUUUAUACUUCUGCAGAGAUGGCGUAUUUAGAGGAGGGCCAGCAAAGGGAAUGGACACAUUGGUAUCUAAAAACUUCUCAGACAGUAGACCGCCCAUUACAGUUCCAUACCUGCAUCUUAAAAUCUAUCAGCUCUAAUUGUGAGAGAGAGAGAGAGAGAGAGAGAGAGAGAGAGAGAGAGAGAGAGAGNNNNNNNNNNNNNNNNNNNNGAGAGAGAGAGAGAGACGUUAUAAGUUUCACUCCUGUAAGCUGACAAAGUUCUGCCAUUCUCUGCUGAGGGCGCAUGUCCACGACAGAAUGUUGUACCUAAUAGCACCAUUUGAUUACAUAAACAUCUCAGGGCACCAAACAAGACACAAUUGAACAAAUAAAAACAAAGUUAAAAACAAUCUGUUGCCCCUUCUCUAUACUGAGAGGAGGAAUUUUCUCAAGGAAAUCCAUUACCUGAUUGCUAACAACUGGGAUCCCAUUUUCCAGUAUUAUAUGUAAUCUUUCGGUAUCAAAGUUGGUCAAAGCUAGAGUCUUGAUUUUACCUGCAUGUUUUUCAGUGUUGAAAACUGAUUAGAUCAGGACAAACCCUAAAGAGUUGAAACAAUAACACACUUUUAAAGUCAGCAAUUGGAUAAUAACAAUAUAUCGUCCUUACUGACCUUCUUCUUUCAGAUCAGUUAGGUGUUUUAGGGCAUCAAGGUAUCCUGGAUUGGAAUAAUCCCACCUGUCUCAAGGAAAACCAUAACAGAAACACUAAGUUGGAAUGAACUAAAAUGUCACUAAGGAAAUAAUUUCAUAAACUGUACACUACCUUCAUUAAAUCAAAGCACUUAUAUGUUCCCAAAAUUACUAGACAACCAAUUAACCUGUUCAUUGCAGUUUUCCUCUCAAAACAAAAAUUAAAGGGGAAAAGACUGCUCACUGCAGAGAGCAUCCUCUAUUAUUCUCCUUCAAAGAUUAGCUUGAAUGACUCGCAUGAUCUUCUUUUUGCAUAUAGUCUUCUAUCCCUUAUCAAGGACAUUUUUAAUCUUCAAACAAACAGCUAUGCAGAUAGAUACACAGAGUCAAGAGAAAAAGUUCAUGCACUUACUAUGGACACCUGCACUAAAAUCCCUCUCUCACUCUCACUCACUCACUCACUCUCACAGACACACGCACACAAUUUAAUCUUUGAAAAAAUAGCUAUAAGGAGAGAUGCAUAAUGUCAAGAAAAAGGUCAAGCACUUAUUACGGACAGCUGCACCAAAAUCUUAAAUCCUAAGCCGACUAACCAUAAUACACACACAAACAUCUUGACAAUUGCUAUUGAUUAAUGAUAGCGUGAAAUACCAUAACUAAAUACCAUAGCAUCCUACCAUAAAAAAUACUUUAAUUACAGAUGCAGUGAUGCAGCAUCCUUAAUCAAGAUACAAGCUGGCUUUCUAUAGCAAAUGCAAAUUUAACCCAUGAACUCUAACCAAACAGUAAUAAAAAUUUAAAAUUUGCAGACUAAGGACAACCAAAGUAAAACAUAAAUGAAUUAAACAAAAAACAUUUUAGAAGAAAAUGAUGAAACAACCAAAAACACCUCAACAGGGGCGGCUCAAUACAUUCUGGGGCCUAAGGCGAAUCCAAUGAACGAGGCCUUUUUUUUUAAUAAUUUUUUUAAUAAAUAUAAAAUACUUAAAAAAUAUAUAAAAAUAGAUAGCUAUCAAGUACACUAUUUUAACAAAGAUACAUGAAUCUAACAAAGAUAGACAAAAAGCCUUUUUAAUUUAAUAUAAUUCUUGAAUGGAAGCACAUAAAAGUAAUUAUACUAAAUGAAGGGCUAUGAAACUGAUUAAAUAACUGAGAUAAUGCUUGGCAAUACUGUUUACCAUGUCAAGCAAGAACCAAAUAGGAAAAGGUCAUCCCAUGGCACUUCAUGGUCAAGGUAAAGAAAAGAAUUUGUCCAUAAAGGAACCUCUUGAUAAGAGAAAGUAGGGUCAUUAUGGAAAAUUUACCCCAUCCCACCAUCUCCCCUUCAAGUAAGUACCCAAGCGGCAACUGCAAUAUCACAGCACAGCAGCCAUUCAACCCCCUCCCUCCUUUUCUCUCUCUACCACCCAAGAGGGGAGAAGAAACCGAGAGGAGAAAACUAAAAGAAUCUCCACCCUCGAAGAAGACCAUCUCCAAUCCCCCUAUCUUUCUUCCGGAUGGCCCAGCUGGAUCAGGAGUAAUGUGAGGGAAGGAAAACCAAGACCAAAACCAAAAAAGAGAAGGGACGAAAGAUAAGAGUGGCUUCAGGCGUCUAUCAAGCCAACCAAAUCCCUCCUCUCUCUCUCGCUCUCCCCACCCAAAACAAAACUACUGUCCCCAACAUCCCAAAUUGCCCCUCUGCAGGCCUGGAUACUCUCCACCUCCCUUCCAUCAAGGGGGAAGACUCGUAGCCAGCUCAAGAUCGGGGCCUUUGCUUCCUUUUGGUCAGCCUCCCGGGGGCCUUCCAUUGGCCCGGAGCCUUAGGCGACCGCCUCAGUCGCCUAGGGCUCGGGCCGGCCCUGCACCUCAAGAUACACCAAGGAAAAAGAUAAAAAGAGACAAGGUAAAACCCCAUGAUACACUAAAAUACAUCCUAGUCCCCUCCAAAAAAUAAACAAGAAAAAAGGGAAAAAGAGGACAGAGGAAAUCAAAACACGAAGGGAAAAGUGAAAAGCCUUAAACCAAGACCAAAAAAUGUCUAAGCAUGCAGGAAACUUUUGCACAAAUCAACUUCUCUCUAGCAAUUAAGGCAUAAGAGAACACAUCAACUACUCCUCGCAAAACAAUCUAUCUGAUGAAAUAAAUUUUAUUUCUCAAGAAAACGCUAUCCUAGCAAAAUUAAACAAAGCUAUAAAUGAACAAACCUUCAAAAACAUUGGAAAAGCAACAAAGAAUAGAAAAAUACAGCAAAUUAUUUUUUAAAAUAAACUCUUAAAGGAAGCGAGACUGCAACUGCUCACUAUAUGGUAUGCCAAACCAGGCCGAAUAGCCCGGUUUACCACGUACAAAACCGAACCGGUGCGGAAUUGGCACGGUUCGGCUGGUAUUUCUGAGAAAAACUAAGAACCACUUUGAACCAGAUGGUUCGCAGCCAAACUGGAUGGUUCGGAGCCGAACCUGUACGAACUAGUUGGUUCGCACUUGUUUGAACUAGUUUGCCUUCUCAGGCCUUUUUUGACUUUCAUUUUCAAAACCCCCCUCCGAUUUUGACAAAAACUCAAUGAUUUCAAUGAUUAAAGAAGGAUCCAACUCAAAACAAGAUAAGAUAGCUCUCCCCCACCUUAUUUCUUCCCUUUUCUUUUUCAACGUCGAAAAAUACUAAGAAAAUUGGAAAGUUAUAGAUCUAUGAGUAAUCUAUACAAUUAAACUAAAAUUUUUAAUUUUCAUUAAAGCUAUAAUUUUUAAAUUAAAAAAUAUAUUUUUAGAUUAAAAAUAAAAUAAAAUAAAAUAAAAUUCAAAAAAUAACUAUAAAAUUAGAAUCUUGUUUAGAAGCAUGCAAGCUACUCUAUAUCUAAAUAUGGUAUCCAUUUAUUUACGUUUGGAUCCACUCAUACACACAGUAGCCUAACCUCAAAUUUGAAUGAAAUUGAAAAAUAAGUAGCCUUUUAUUCAUGCUCAUAGGCUAAAAAAAUAUAUCUAACAGCCAUGAUAGGGUUCUAUAUGAAUCUGAGCUUGAAUUAGUUUUCUAAAAUUUUUGUAUCCAAAAAUUAUUUUUUAAUUUAAAAAAUAAUUAAAAUAUAUAUUCAAUAAAAAAUAUGAAAAAUUAGUAUAUUAGAUAAUUUAGAAGUAUUUUCUGAAGUAGAAAAUAUAUUUUCUGAAUUUUUGAUAUUUGAUAUUAUUUUUUAUUUUAAAAAUUAAUAAAAAUAUAAAAAUAAUAUAAAAAUAAAAUUAGUACUAUGUAUUAGAUAAUUCAAAAGUAUUUUCUAAAGUAAUUUUUUUAUUAUUAUAAAAAAUUUACUAUUUUUAAUAAUUAACAAACUUACACGCUUGAUAAACCAGCAAGAUUGGAUAUAUUGAGGAAAAAGAACCUAGAGCGUGACAUUGGUUAGAAUUAUAGGCAAAUACUCUUGGAUCGGCACCAUUAGACGUACAAUUGGUACAACAUAGAGUUCAAGAGAUGAGAGGUAACCAAGUUGAAGCAGCACCUGGCUAGUAGUUAUCCCGACGUAUCUAUAUGCCAACAUGCCUAAAAGAGGGCCAACAGCUGAUGAAGAAGCACUUUGCCGAUUUUUAAAUAGCAAAAGAGAGGGUGGCCAAAAAGAAGGCGAAGAUAGACAGUCGAGCAGCAAAGCUACCUUCAUAUCACUCCAAAAAGUCAGAGGCCUCCGCUCCAGAUGACGAAGAGGCAUAGAUCCAGACAACCAUCAAGCAAGCCUAGAUGAUCAGUAGUAGUAGGAUGAGGUAGCUAGGCAUAGAACUUGAUUUGAGCCCUCACACUACGAGUUGGGCUCUGGUUCUGCAACCAAUGGAGUAGAUCCAGAGUUCUCAAUUGUGGAGGUCGUCAGUAGAGGCAGUAGCCAUAUUGCAUCUAUGCUGAGGGCUUUUGGUAGCAAGAAAGUCUCAAGAGAGAUACCACCAUAAGCCACCAUCCAUCAUUUAGAUUCACAUGCCUUCUCCAACAAGGAUUCGAACCAACAUAGGGUUGACACCGACAAAAAGAAGAAUAUGUGGCGAGCUAUUGGAUCUUGGUUCUACUUCAACCACAUCCCUGCGAAUACGGCGAGCAAUACGUAAUAUAAGUCUGCCAUUUCGUCCAUAUAGGCUGCCAAUCCGGGUGUAGAUCCUCCAAGACUAAAGAAUAUCUAUGGUGAGCCUUUUGACAACAACAAGAAGCUACAAAAGUGGAUUACCUCAUCAGCAAGUGGCCCACAUAUGGACUGACGAUGAUGUGUGAUGGUUGAACCGGUUCUACCAAGCAGAAGAUCAUCAACUUCUUGCAUACUGUAACACGAAGACUUUCUUCCAAAAGUCAAUUGAUGCUUCCAAUCAGGUGCAUGAUGCCAUAUACAUCUUCAGAUUGAUGGAGAAGGUAAUUGAUCGGGUAGGAGAGGAGAAUGUCAUGUAGGUCAUCCUUGAUAAUUGAACAUAGUAUAAUGCCACCAGGAAGAUCUUAAUGGAACGGCAGUCACAUAUUUUCUAGACCACAUGUGCUACAUAUUGUAUCUACCUCAUGUUGAUGAAGAUUAAGAAGAUUCGUAGGAUGUAGCAGAUAGUGGAGACAACUCAGUCCAUCACCAAAUUUAUUUAUGACCACACAAAGGUCCUAUCACUAAUAAGGAGGUACGUAGGGUGAGGGAUCUUGAAACCAAAUGUGACACGGUUUGCCGCUAACUGUAUUGCACUUGAUAGCCUCAUUGAGAGAAAAACAGGCAUGUGUCAGAUAUUUGUCAGUGUCGAGUAGCAGAAAAGCAGAUUUGUGAGAGCUGACACGAAGGGAAGCCAUGAGAAGAACUUGUUGUGAGACAGAUUUUCAGGCAGCAGGCCGCGAAGAUAGUAAAGGCUAUCAAACCAUUAUACAAAGUGCUUCAGACCGUGAAUAGCAAGAGGUACCCUUAGAUGGACUUCCUAUAUCAUAUGAUGGAGAGGGCAAAGAAUUAAAUCAAAAAAGCAGAUCUGAAGCAUGCAUAAAAGUAUAUGAACAUCAUUAAGCAGUGGUGGGACUAUAAGAUAGGUAAGGACUUGCAUCUAGCAAGUAGGCAAGAAUAUUGAAAAUUUGAUUAUUGCACUUGUACAAUUUUACUAAAACAAUUACAAACUCUAUCUGCAAAUUACUAUAUAAACUCGAGAUUCCAAUAUAUCUUACCUGGGAUCGAUAUGGACAGAAAACUUCUGGCUGCCCUAAAUAAUGUGAUCUACAAAAUGGAGCCUAAUCUCGAAGUCGCAGCCCUAUGUCUACAAGAGGUAAGUUAACUUAAGUGGCAUGCAUAAGUUAACUCGUGUCUUCAACAUUAACAUAUUAUAACACAUAUUUUCACAGACGAAAAUAUUUAGGGAGGGCAUUGACAGCUUUGGAGUCUCGACAACUAUCAUAAGCAAGAAAAGCAUGAAUCCAAGUAUAUUAGAUAUCAACGAUAACUAGUACUUAACAUUUUAUGGUUAUUAAUAUAAUACUAUCUUACAUAAUUUUCUUCAAUAUUUUUGCAGCUAAAUAGUAGAUUCAUUUUGGUCAACCUUUGUCCUUAUCCACAGCAAGCAACGGGACCGUCUAACACAGAGGGACCUUAAUAAUCUCGUAUAUGUUCACUAUAAUAUGAGAUUGAGGUUAAAGUACAUUCAAGAGGAAGUACAACUGAAGUAUGCGGAUCCAAUCUAUAACGCUUUUGUUUAAGAUAAGGAUGAUCCUAUGAUCGAAUGGCUUGCAGGCCAGCAGCAGGAGCCAGAGCUUGAUAAACUAGGAUCACUUCUACAACCGGCUAGUUUCAUAGCUAGCAAAGCUAUGGUGGAUGCAGAGCAAUAGGCAGAUCGCAAUAUUCCAUGCAUGCUUUCAACUGAUCAGCCAUAGCCAUACGGGUUACUAGGAAGCCGAUCAUCAUACGACUCCACAUCCAAGAAAUCCUCCUAGAGAUAUGAUUGAGAGAUGAGGCCAUCAUGCUACCCAGUUGACUCAGUCAAGAGGGCAACAUCCAUCCUCCUAGCAUAGUCAAGUAAAGAAGGGCACCAAGGAAAAGAAAGUAGAUGCUCAAUGCAGCCUGAAAUAAAAGAAAAGGCAGUUACAGCCCAAAUGGGGAGAGUGGAAGAGUCAGAGCUUUAUCAGCCAUAUUAUCAGCCAAAGAAUACCUCUUAGAGCUAGAGCUUUAACAAGAGAUCUGAGACUGAUUAUAACCCGAGCACGUAUCUUAUGGGAUGAGUGUACAAGACUACAAUGCCGUUUGGUUAGAGAAAUGGGCUGAUGUGCCUCUUGAUUAUGCUAAUGAUCCAGAUAUCUCUAAGAAGCAUCGCCACUCAACGAGAUUCUAAAUGCCAGUAUAUAUAUUGUACUUUAGAUAUAUAUAAUUGAUUGUACUAUUGUAUGUUUUGUAUCUCACAAAUUGAUUUUAGGAUAUUUCAUAUUGCUUCUCCUCACAUGUGAUGCCAGAGUCGUUAGCUUCUUUCUUUGCAUUUUGGUUUUCGCCUAACGCUAAUGCAAAAAGCUGGGGGUAGCAAACCCAAUUGCAUAGAUUUGCCCAUUUUUGCCUGCCCAAAGUUGCAAUGUUUUAGAACAAUGCCACGGUAAUGUAGAAAAAUCAUUUAAGAUGUACAGAGGUAAUAGAAACAUCAAGAAACAUCAAAUUAGACAUAAAAUCAUUCAAAAAACCAAAAAACAAUUGAUCACUUUUCAUUAAAGAUUUAAAAAAUUGAAAAAAAUAUGGCAUGCUGGUUCGAAACUGGCACACCACUACAUACUGUGUCGGUAUAGUACCAAAUUGGUAGCCAACCGGUAAAGGUCCUGGUACCAAUUUGGCUAACCUUGGUUCGCCACCUCUACCAUUUCCUUGUUUAAAGAAAAAUGUAGGUAGACAGAACAAAGAUGCCUCACAAAUCAAUUCCAAAAAUGUAAGAAAAAUGAUCCAAAUCUUAUAGCAGCCAAUAGAGCACAUGGAGCAGCGUACUCUCUUUAUACCUCUUCACAAGUUAGCACUAACAAAAACCCACCAAAGUGGUGAUGGUACAAUCAGACAAUACAAACAAAAGAUAAGGGGCCCCAUUGAGGCUAGCAUUCCUUAAGUAAAAGCAGAAAUGCAUAAUAAAGCAUUCACGAAUUCCUUUUGGGGCCUUUUAGCAUGCAUUUGAUGGACUUCUAUUUCAUUUCAGACAAACUUUCAAGUUGCAAUCCUUGCUCCUUGUGCAUGAGCCACAAGUAAGAGCAAGUAUUUACAUCUAGCCAAAUCCACAGCCUAUUCCAUUAAAGACAAUAGAGACCUUUUUUCUUUUUCUUUUUCUUUUUCUUUUUUUCUUUAUUUCCCUUUUUUCUAGAACUAUGAUCGAAAGAACUCAACCGAAAUCAGUUUUGAGGUGGGUUCAAACCUAGUUCACUCGUACCAAACAAUCAGUGACUUUACCAACAGAAUCAGUUGGCACCUUCAUAAGAACAAAACAAAGUUAGGUCCAUUCACCACAAGGAUAUUGAAAUUUAUGGAAGAUGUAUACAACUUUUUUGGAAUCUCUUUACUUGGCGAAAGAGGAUAACAACAGGCCUUAAGAAUGAUGGGAUCUUCUUCAAGAAAGUCAAAAUACACUAAAAUUCUAGAAGAAUAGAAGCCCUCUUCUCUCUCUCUCUCUCCCUCUCUCUCUCAUUCUCAUAUGAAGCCUUGUAAGUUAAAGCCUAUAGCAGAAUUUACAUCACUCCAACUGCUUAGAAUAAACAUUUCAACCUUGUAAGUUAAACCCAAUAGCAGCCCUUACAUCAACUCAUGAUCCAACUGCUUAGAAUAAACAUGCAUAAGUGACCAAGUAAAAGGAGAGGUAAGGGGAUUUCAGCAUUCAUGUGGAAUAAUGCAACAAUCUCCCACUUGAAAACAAAUUUCCAACUAUCAAUUACUCAAUUAUCAUUCUUCAUGCAUUAUUUUACAUUCACCUAUGCUAUGUUUCUAUUAAUAAGAAAGCCUCCUGCACAUGUAAUUCUUUUUAGCACGAAAAAACUUUUUGUCAACAUAAGGUUUUUCUUAGCUCGAAACUUGACUGCUUACACGUGACAGCAUUCCAAAUCUAAUUGAAUAAAGGGAUAUUAGAUAUCUAUAUGCUUUUAGAGUGAUAAGCUGCAUUGAUGGUUUUUGCUUUAGCAAACACAAUGCACACAAUGCUUCUUUAGUCCACUCCAAGCUGACCAAGAGAUAUCCUUAUGCAAACCAUCUCAUUUUCUGCUUCCAUCAAUGCAAAUAUGCUGUUCUUCUAUAGAUGAUAAGCCGGCUAUGUCUUGAAACUUUCUCAUAAAGCUAACUGCAGCAGCACAAAUUAUUAAAAUAUACCCAGUAGUGGAGUGUGGUUCUUUGCAACCAGUAUUGCAUCAACAAAACCACAACCUCCAACAAAAAACCUCCAAAUAACAAGCAUAAACUCAGUGUCCCCUUCAAAUACUGGAUUCAUUUCACUCUAUGCUGAUGUUCUUGUCCUAGAUCACCCUUUCAUCUUGAAACAACUCAAACUGCAUAUGUUUGAUCUUGUACAAAUUGUGUCAUACAUCAAGCUACCACAGUAGAAAUAUAGGGAACAUUCCUCAUUCCGUUUUUGAGGGGAGGGAACAUUCCUCAUUUCUUUCUUCAAAUCUCACCCUUUGGAGAAUUUCUUCUGGACAAUUGAAGUUUCUGAGUAAUGCUGAAUAGGAUUAUACUUAUGCAUGCCAAAACUUUCAAGAAUUUCAGAUGUGCACUCAGACUGAAAUGCUGAAUAGGAUUAUACUUAUGCAUGCCAAAACUUUCAAGAAUUUCAGAUGUGCACUCAGACUGAGACCAAACCAUGCUUGCUACCUCUUUGAAUGUGUAUGCUAAAAACCUUCUUAGCUGUUUUUUUUUCCCGUAAACAAACUGGGUCCAACAUUUGCAGCAAAAGUGCUUAGACAUAUCAAUCUUUAGAUACUUGUUAUCUUUUAGAUCAUUGUUGACAGUGAACAUAUCACCUACAUAAAGCAGUAAAGCAAUGAACGUAUCAUAUGACCCUUAAAAAAAAUACAAUGCUUAAAUUCAGUGAUGCAGAUGGAGGACCCCAUACUUGCAGCAUUCCAACCUGGGGUGAUAUUGGAACUAAGAAGGAUUUAUAUAUAUGCAGAAAGAGGUCUUCUAGAGGUCACAUGUUAGCAAAAGUUCAACGAAACUCAAGAGAAUCGCAUGGCUACAGUGAAACCUAUGUUUAAAAAAGUUUGAAGGCCAGUUCCUUGGAUCCGUGCUAAGAUCUACUAGCAUCAUGGGAUACACCAAACGAUCACCAUACAAGGUGAUACUUGACUUGCAGAUGCCUAAUAAACUUAAAAUCCAAUUUUUGUAUUAAGCCAAAUUGAGAAGAGCAAUCCAAUGCAUAUCAGUCCAAGAGAACUUUGCCAAUACGAUAAAAUUCCCGUAUGAGAUCACUUCCAUUGCAUGCAAUAUCAAGUUAGCUUUCCAUCACAACUUGAAUCAUCUAAAACAAAGGUCAGGUGAGAGAGGUCUAGACAAUUUAUCGAAGACAUGUCAAUGCUGACGAAGGUCCAGAUAUAUAAGAAAAUGCCAUUCCACAAUUAAGAAUGAUUUUUCCUUUACUUUUACCAAAGUUUCCUUGUUUUUUACUUCCACAAAGUCAUAUUAGAUGAGUUAGAAGCCCAAAGAGCUUAGAAAAUUAUUUUACCUCUAUAAGUGGAUAUUAUCUCUUUAUUUUUAAGGCAAACUGUAUUAAACGAGAAUUACGCCAUUGGAUUUAGAAAAUCUCUCCUCUAAAAAAGCCCAAUUGUAUUCAAUUUUCAAUAAAACACAGCAAAUUAAGUAAAGUUUUUUUUGAGAUUCAUCUCAAUUCUUGUGUGGUGUGAGGUUGCACAAGAGCCCAUGCUAUGAGGCCAUGGUUGAAGAGAGCAUACUGGUGAGAGGCCUAGAAUAUUCUAUCGGGUCCUUUUAAAGACCAAAGAUGCGAGGCUGAAGGUUCAAGUGUCCAACAACAAAGGUGUGAGGCUUUCUAGUUAUCCCUUUAAUCUUAGUUUCUCUUUUAGUUCCAGUUUUCUCUUCAAAUUUUACCUUUUAGUUAUUUUCUAGUUCUUUUCCUAAUAAUUCAUGCUUUUAGUUUAAUCUUAUUUACUUCUAGUUACUAUUUUGGUUUUAGUUCUUGCUUUUUGAUGUGCUACUUUGAUCUAGUGGAGGCUAAGGAUACCCAUUGGGUUCCUUGCAUCGUUCCCAUUUAGCAUACUACAUGAAACGAUCUAUUUUUUCUAGUUUAGGAUUUAUAAAUAACGUCAAAAAAAGUUGAUUUUCAACUUGGACUCCAAAUCUGAUUUCACAAAUUUCAUAACAAAGCAAAUUCUUUCUUGCUUAAGUUAGAAUUUCUAGAUCUUUUCAAAUUAUUAUUUAAUUCCUAUUUGCUUUAGAAUACCUAGUUUGACUUGGGGCUCCUAGUUGAAGUAGGAUUCCCAAUUGAAUUAGGACUCAUCACCAUUUUCAAAAAAACUAAAAAUAAAAAUGAUUAUUUUGAAAUACAAUUUGCUUUCCAAGUCCUGCUUAGUUUCGAAUUCCUAGUUGCUUUUGAGAUCUGCUUAAUUUCUUGCUUGAGUUGUGAGUGUGUUAGAAAUUCACUUAUUUCAUCAAGGUGGUUUGAGGGCUUGUUCGGGUUCCCUAGGGUUAUCUCAGCAGCAUUUGCAUCCUAGCUUGUCAAUCACUCACAGACAUUCCACACCCCAUACACACAACCUAAAAUAGGUCCAGCCUACUAACAUGGCUAAAGCUUCAAUUGCCGGCGGCAUCUUGUUUCCAUGGGCCAUCAACUAAUUGCAACAGGUCAAUGCAUGCAUCUCUAAGCAAAUCACAUCAAAUGGCAACCAACAUACUGUAAGAUUCAGAUUGGACAACUUGUUUAUUUUUAGAAGCUAGUCGACAUUAGACCACUGUCGGCAACCAUUGCAGAUCUUGAAGCAAGCUAUAGCCGAUGGCAACUAGCCACCAUCAGAUCCCAAGCAACAACAUCCCUUCUACCAUUAGUUAGCUUUUGUGUAGACACCUAUGCAACGGAAGCUUAUUAAGGCCGAAAAUCAAAAUAAGCAACUAGAAAGUAUUGUAACAAGGUCUGUCGUGCCAGUAUAGGAGCCCGUACCGAUCGGCCGGUGGCACAGUUUGGUACGCCCCCAUGUCAUUCUGUGUCGGGCCCGUACCGACAUAGCAGAAAAGGGCACGAGAGCAGAAGAGGGAGAACAAAAGAGAGGAAAAAAGAGAGAAGGGGAGGAAAGGAGAGGCAGGAAGCGCCGCCAGAGACCUUCGGAGGGUGCCAGAGGGGCGUCGAAGGGCGCCGGAGAGCCAGAGCAGAGGCUCCACCCUCCACUUAAAAAUCGCUUGCUGACUUCACUUAAAAAUCGCAAAAUUUUUUAAGGUCAUGGCCGGACCCCUGUUUCGUUCGAAAUAGAGGAACCGGCCGCGGCCUCAUUUCUUGCGGCCUCGAUCGACCUCCGCCAGUCCUUCGCCGGCAUCUGUUAGCCCUCCGCCAGCCGCCCUUCCUCUCCCUCCCUCUCUCCCUUCUCUCUUUCUCUUUUCCUCUCUCCCACGAUCUGCAUGUCAUCUCCUCCGUCGGUAUAAGCCUAGCACGGCCCAUACUGACUCGUGCCACCGAAGAAAUGGUAGGUACCCGGUACCAGUUUUACCGACCUUGCCGCCAGUACUAGUACCAUAUACCAUGCCCUUUUGAUUGAAAAAUGGUAUAAGGUAUGUUACCAGUAUUCAAAGUCUAUGAUGGUGGGAUAACAGCAAGUUGUAACAAGCCUGAAAAAGUACUCUUCAGAUUACCCAAGGUCAUUAGGGCUUUAUGUUUGGAUAGAAUAAGGGAGUCUUUAAUGGGGAUCAAAGAAAAGGUUAAACCCAAAGGGAAACAACGCAAAUCUGCAAAGUGGCUGGUAUUGGCUGUUUCUGGACCAGAUCAAGCCUAUUUUUAGGUAUAUAGACAGGCCAACAACCAAGAUCUACCAUGCCGGUAUCGGAGCCCAUACCAGUCAGCCAGCGGCAUGGUUCAGUACACCCCGGUGUGGUCCAUGUCGGGCCCGUACCGACACGGCAGAGAGGAGGGAGCGGGAGAGGGAGAAGAAAAGAGAGAAAAAGAGAGGGAGGGAAGGAGAGGAAGAGGGAGGGAAGGUUGCUGAAGGGCGCCAGAGGACACCGGAGGAGCCCCGAAGGGCCAGAGCAGGGGCUCUACCCUCCGGACCCCUACUUCGUUCGAAGUAGGGGUUUGUUGGGAAUUCUUUUUAUUUUGAAAAUUUGAAGUGAAGUUGGCAAGGAAUUUGCCGACUUUACCUAAAAUUUGGGUUUUUUUAUUUUGAAAAUUUUAAGUGAAGUUGCCAAACCUCUUGCCGACUUCACUUAAAAUUUUUAAAAUAAAAAAGGAGGUUGGCAAACCUCUUGCAGACUUCACUUAAAAUUUUUAAAAUAAAAAAGAAACCCUGACAAACCCUUAUUUCGAACGAAACAGGAGUUCAGAGGGCGGAGCUCCUGCUCUGGCCCUUCAGGGCCACUUUAGCGCCCUUCGAAAGCCUCCAGAGGCCUCGGGCGGCCCUCCCUCCCUCUCCCUCUCCCUUCCUCCCCUCCUCUCUCUCUUUUACUCUCUUUCCUUCUCCCUCUCUCCUCACCCGCUGGUUUUCCAUUUUGAAUGCCGGUACCAUCUCAGUCCGCCGCCGGCAUGGCUCAAUAUGCCCCAAACCGGGCGGUCAAAACAGUUCUGUUGAAGGGAGAAUUUCCCGAGUUGUCCAAUAAAAUCGGACGCCAGGCAUGAAAAAUUAAUUUUAAAAUUUUUAUUUAUAAUAAUUAUAAGUAUUAAACAUACUAAUAUGUAAAACAUACCUCGAUCCUGCAGCGGAAGUUGGAUAAGGUAUGCCGGAUAUGGAUCUGGAUCCCUGAAGGUAGCUCUGCGAGGCCUGGAUCUGCAGGCCCUCUACUUCGCACACACGUCGAGCUUCAUAGGAAGGUAGGAGGACUUUGAUAUUCGUGCAAAACACCUUUUGCAAAAGGGACCCUAGAAGAAAAGAAAUUCCCUUUUCUUUUCUUCUCUUUCUUUUCCUUUUCCCUAACAGCAAAUCACUGUUUUCUUUUCUCUCCCGUUUCUUCAAGGCACGCCCGAGAGCAGUGACGCCUGAGUUUGAUCCCAAUCACAGAGGAAGAGGGAAGGCAGGAGAGAACGCCGGAUCUAGGCCGGACUCCAUACCACCAGAGAGAGANNNNNNNNNNNNNNNNNNNNCACGCCCGAGAGCAGUGACGCCUGAGUUUGAUCCCAAUCACAGAGGAAGAGGGAAGGCAGGAGAGAACGCCGGAUCUAGGCCGGACUCCAUACCACCAGAGAGAGAGAACAUCUUCCUCUCUCUUCUUCUUCACUGAAUCAAGACUACCUCUCUCUGUCUGACGUUUUCAUCCCAAAGAAAAAAAAUUCUCUCUUCUUCUUCUUUGAGGAAACCGUGGCCUACAAAUAGGCCAAUGCGAAGAGGAGUUAAGAGGCGUAAAUGGCCGAGCGUUAUUGUAUUCAUUCAUUAUCUAAUAUGAAUGAAUUUCAUAACGUUUGUUUCAAAAACAACCGUGGGGGAAAAAGAGCGAUUAAUGCUGAUAACUGCCGUAUUUCAAAAAUCAAAUUGAACUGUAAUGUAGCCGGUUCAAAACCGGACAUUCCAGUCCAAACGGCAAUCCAAAUGGAGUCCGAAUGGAGACAUGGGGUGGCUUUGAAGCAUCAGCGAAAAGUCCUCUGUUUUCUCCCUGGGUUUCUCUCAUCACGGCUCACAAGACACUUNNNNNNNNNNNNNNNNNNNNNNNNNNNNNNNNNNNNNNCUUAAGGGUCCAUGGGUUAUUUAAAUUGGAAUUGGGUCAGCAGUUCAAUCAAUUGGGUUAGCCUAUUUGGUUCUAAACCAAAUUGAUGGCCAAAUUGAAUGAUUUUUGACCAAAAAAAAUUCCACCUGAGUCCGACUCAUGGGAGGUUCAAUUUGGUCCAGUCUCGGCUCGAUCCAAGUCCGACUUAGAUCAAAACAAAUACAAAAUUAAAUCUCAAUUAAAUCAUGAUCGAGCCCAAUUACUCUAAUUGAGACCCAAUCAAACCCAAUCUCAACAAUUGAGUCUUGAUCAAGUUCCAUUACAUUAAAUGAAACUUGAUUGAUCCUGAAUACAGACUUAAUUAGUUGUUCAUCCAUGAAAUUUAGCAUGUACCUCAUGUUCAGUGCUAGCUGAACAUAGACAAAACCAAAUUCCAAAUGAACCACAAUUUAAUUCUUAAUUAAAUUGGAUCAAGACCUUCCUACUUAGCUUGACUAAUAUGCUGCUCCGAUAGGUUCGAACACUAAGCCGGUAGUACAUGGACUACUCUAUACACUAAUCGAGGUAACCAUCUAGCAAUGAUACCCGACGUCCGGAUAGGUCGAAUAUGCAAAACAACAUUUAANNNNNNNNNNNNNNNNNNNNNNNNNNNNNNNNNNNNNNNNNNNNNNNNNNNNNNNNNNNNNNNNNNNNNNNNNNNNNNNNNNNNNNNNNNNNNNNNNNNNNNNNNNNNNNNNNNNNNNNNNNNNNNNNNNNNNNNNNNNNNNNNNNNNNNNNNNNNNNNNNNNNNNNNNNNNNNNNNNNNNNNNNNNNNNNNNNNNNNNNNNNNNNNNNNNNNNNNNNNNNNNNNNNNNNNNNNNNNNNNNNNNNNNNNNNNNNNNNNNNNNNNNNNNNNNNNNNNNNNNNNNNNNNNNNNNNNNNNNNNNNNNNNNNNNNNNNNNNNNNNNNNNNNNNNNNNNNNUUUUUUAUAAUUAAAAAAUUGGCUUUGGGACACAAUUUCCAACUCCCACUUGGACUAAAGCUAAUUUGUACAGUAUCUUAUAUCCAUCUUCGAUUUGUGAUAAUCGAACUCCUUUACAGAAAGGGCUUUAGUGAAUGGGUCAGCUAGGUUUUCCUUUCCAUCGAUCUUCUGAAGAUUGACGUCACCUCAUUCUACGAUCUCUCGUACAAGGUGGUAGCAACGCAGAAUGUGCUUGGUCCUGUGGUGAGACUUUGGCUCCUUCGCUUGUGCAAUGGCUCCAAUGUUGUCACAAUACAAAAGAACUGGACCAUUGAUUGAGGGAGCAACACCAAGUUGAUUUACAAACUUCUUGAUCCAAACAGCUUUCUUUGCCGCAUCUGAUGCGGCAACAUAUUCUGCUUCGCAUACGGAAUCGGCUACUGAAUGCUGCUUAGAACUGUUCCAGCAGACUGCUCCUCCCUUCAGGGUAAACACAAAUCCUGACAUACUCUUACUGUCAUUAUGAUCUGACUGAAAACUGGAGUCUGUAAACCCCACAAGUUUUAAGUCAGAUUCUCCAUAGAUUAACCAUUGGUCCUUAGUAUUUCUCAAAUACUUAAGGAUAGUUUUCACCACCUUCCAAUGGUUCUCAUCCGGAUCAGACUAAUACCUACUCACUACUGCUAAUGAGUAAGCAACAUCCGGUCUCGUACAUGUCAUGGUGUACAUGAUAGAUCCCACUGCAGAAGCAUAUGGGAUUCUACUCAUACGCUCUCUCUCUUCGGAAGUUAUCGGACAAUCUUUCUUAGAGAGAGAAAUUUCUUGGCCUAUCGGAAGAUAGCCCUUCUUGGAAUUCUCCAUGUUGAACCGCUUCAAUAUAGUAUCGGUGUAUGUGGUUUGGGACAAUCCUAGUAACCUUUUAGAUCUAUCUCUAUAGAUCUUCAUCCCUAUGAUGUAAGAUGCUUCUCCCAGAUCGUUCAUAGAGAACUGUGAUGACAGCCAGAGUUUCAUAUUUUGUAAUGCAGGAAUGUCAUUCCCAAUUAAGAGAAUGCCAUCCACAUACAAGACAAGGAAUGGGAUCACUGAACCGUUAGCCCACUUGUAGAUACAAGGUUCUUCUUCGUCCUUAACGAAGCCAUACGUUUUGAUAGUUUUAUCGAAACGUAUGUUCCAACUUCGAGAAGCUUGCUUAAGUCCAUAAAUAGACUUUUGUAGCUUACAUACUUUAGACUCGUCUGUGGAUGUAAAACCCUCAGGUUGUAUCAUAUGCACCUCUUCUUCCAGCUCUCCAUUUAGAAAAGCUGUUUUCACAUCCAUUUGCCAGAUUUCAUAAUCCAUAUAUGCCGCUAUAGCAAGCAUGAUCCGAAUAGAUUUUAGCAUUGCCACAGGGAAAAAAAUCUCGUCAUAGUCGAUACCAUAACGUUGACGAUACCCCUUGGCAACCAGACGGGCUUUAUAAGUCUCCACCUUUUCGUCUGCACCUCUCUUUCUUUUGAAGAUCCAUUUGCACCCUAUGGGUUUUAUCCCUUCGGGUGGAUCAACUAGUGUUCAUACACUAUUGAUUUCCAUGGAUUCCAUUUCGGAUCUCAUGGCGUUAAGCCAUAACUCAGAGUCGGACCUCUACAUAGCAUCCAUAUAGGUGAUCGGAUCCUCAUUGUUCUCAUCGAGCUCAAUGGGAUCCGCAUCUUGGAAGAAACCAUAGUAUCUGUCCACUUGACGCGGUACUCUACCUGAUCGCCUUAAUGGUGCUUCUACAUUGGGCUCCGGGUUUGAUCUAAUCGAAUCCGGUUCUGUGGGUUCAGUAGAUUGUAUUAAAUCUUCCACCUGCUGAACUUCACUAAGUUCAACCUUAGAGUCAACAAUUCCUUUACUAAGGAAUUCCUUUUCCAAAAAGGUUGCCUUAAGUCCUACGAACACCUUUUAUUCAUUAGGAAGGUAGAAGUAAUAACCCCUAGUUUCCUUGGGGUACCCUACAAAAUAACACUUAUCGGACCUAGGACCAAGUUUGUCAGUUUGAGAACGUUUAACAUAAGCCGGACAUCCCCAAACCCUAAGGUAUGAAAGUGUCGGCUUACGCCCAGUCCAUAUCUCAUAUAGAGUCUUCUCAACAGACUUACUUAAAAUCUUAUUUAGUAUUAUACACGCAGACUCUAAAGCAUAACCCCAAAAGGAAAGAGGCAAACUAGUAAACCCCAUCAUGGAUCGAACCAUGUCUAACAGAGUUUGAUUCCUCCUUUCAAAUACACCAUUGUGCUGAGGUGCUCCUGAAGGGGUCCAUUGUGAGAGAAUCCUAUUCUCCUCUAGAUAAGUCAAGAAAUCACCGAAAAAGUAUUCUCCUCCUCGGUCUGACCGAAGGAUCUAAAUACUCUUUCCAGUCUGUUUUUCUACUUCAUUACAAAAUCGUUUGAACAUUUCAAAUAAAUUCCGACUUAUACUUCAUCAGAUAGACAUAUCCAUACCUGGAUAGAUCAUCUGUGAAGGUUAUGAAGUAGGCAUAACCAUCUUUGGCACUUAUAUUCAUAGGUCCACAUACGUCAGUAUGUAUGAAGCCAAGAACAUUGCUGGCUCGUUCACCCUUUCCAGAAAAAGGUGACUUGAUCAUCUUACCCAGAAGACAGGAUUCACAAGUUGACAACGAUUCACAAUCAUUGAUUUCUAAAAUGCCCUAUUGGGCUAACCUGUUUAUCCUGUUUUUAUUUAUGUGACCUAGUCGGCAAUGCCAUAAAUAGGCUUCAUUGACAUUAGCUAACUUAGGACGUUUAUUAGAAGUGUACAUUACAUUCACAGGCAGUGAUAGAGUAUAAAUGUCAUGUGUCAAUUGUCCACAAAAAAUUUUAAUACCAUUCAAAAUGAUAUCACAAAAAUUUUCUUUUAUUGAUAAACAAUAACCAUUUUUGGCCAAAAGGCCUACAGAGAUGAUAUUCAUCAAAAAUGCUGGACAAUAAUGACAAUCAUCUAAUAUGACUACUCUAGAUUCAAAAACAAGCUUAAUGACUCCUAAAGCUAGGACUGGAACUGAUCUUCCAUCUCCAACCUUCAGGAAUCUUUCGCCAUUCAUGAAUCUUCUACUAACUUGAAAUUCCUAUAACGAAUUGCAAAUAUUAAUUGGACUUCCGGUAUCUAAUACCCAAGCAGUAGAAUCAUAAACAGAAAAAUUACAAGGUGUUAUCAUAUAAUUACUUUAUGCAGCAACUGUUUGCUGCUUUUUCUUCCUAAGCCUGUUUGGAUCAAGGGACGCUAUGUAAGCCGAACAGUUCCGCUUCCAAUGACCCAUCUUUUUACAGAAGAAGCACUCUGCCUUGCUCUUAUCGGCUUUAUGCUUCUUAGUCUGGCUGGGCUUAGAGACCCCAGCACGAGCUUCCUGCACCUUCUUCUUCUUUCCUUUCUUAAAGGAAGAAAGUCCUGCAGAAGUCCCACCUACCACAUUCACUGACUCCUUUUUGAGUUGGUGAUCCUUCUCAUAGGUCUGCAGUAAACCUAGCAAACCAUGAUAGGAUACUUCAAGUUUAGUCAUUCUAUAAUGACUAAGGAAGGUCAGGUAAGACUUGGGAAGUGAGUUCAAAAUGGCAUCCUUUCCCAAUUGCUCGUGCAAAGGAAAGCCAAGUUUACUCAAGCGAUCGAUUUGUUCAACCAUGUAUAAUACAUGAUCGGUCACCGAUGCCCCUUCCCUCAUGCAGGCAUUGAAUAUAGCGCAAGAGGUCUUAUGUCGUUCGACAUCAUCAGGUGUGCCGAAAGACUCCUUCAACAUUUGAAGGAUUUUCACUGGCUGCGCUUCCUCGAAUUUACGACUAAACUCGUCAUUCAUCGAGGCCCUCAUGAUGCAGCGCACUGUAGUACGAUCGUUGAGCCACUUCUGAUAAGCAUCUCUGAUUGCACGUGGUGCAUUGGCUGCACGUUCCUCAGGUGCAGGAUCCGAUAUCACAUACAAGAUCCGUUCAUACUCUAAUACUAUUUUCAACUUUCGAUACCAGCUAUCGAAGUUAGGUCCAUUAAGCUUAUCAUUGUCUAAUAGUGUUCGGAGGGACAAUGAGUUAGCCAUAUCUGAAAAAUAAAGAAAAAACCCAACUAAUCAGUAUAUGAUUUAUUUAAUCCUAAAGACUUGGACUUUAGUCUAAAGUUUUCUCCCACUAUGUUAAUCGAAUUAAUAGCCUCUACCUUUAACUCGAGGAAUUACUUUAAUUCCCUAGUGGGUACUAAAAUCCGCAUAGACUGCAUACGGGCCCGAGGAAGGCUCGGCCAACCCAUGUGCAUCUAAGAGUAGGUACAUUACCAAUUGUUUCUCUAAACAAUUUCUAGUAAUCAAUUUUGCCCCAGGUGGUAAUCAGUAGGCGAAGGCCUUCACUAAAAAUCCUGGUUAGGUCCAACCAUUAAUGAACUAACUCGAUGACACUACCUAAUGUAUGAUCAGGCCCGAGGAAGACUCGGCCAACCUAAUCACAAUUAGAUAGCUCAAAAAGCUAUCAUAUAAUGAAGGAUAAUUCUAGUAUUCAGAGGAACACUAGACGGAAGUGUCCUGCAUGUUCAACUGUAAUAUUGGACCCAUUAUCAUUCACCUUAAUGGAAGGCUAUGAUCUAGUUAUCUAUAUAACUUUAUCAUUUUAAGGACCUAAUAAUUUAGAGAAUUUUAAUUGAUGUGACGUUGACCGAUAAUUCUAAAUCCUCCCACUGACUUCACCAAGUCAUACAAAGGACUAGCUCUUAUUGGUCUAUUAAACACCUAAAUCAGUCACACUGAUUUUUCUUAAUGGCGUGGGUGAGUGCCAAGUCUCAAGGUACCUUAAUCAAAACUUGAUCGACCAAAUUAGCCAGGUAAGAGAGAUCAUGGGAGGGUUACGCCAUUAACCUCUUUUCUAGACACCAACUAUGUUGGCCAGGUAAGAGGUAGCCCCAAUUAAAAACCAUGAUCAAAUGCCGACUUAUCUUAGACACCAAUUGAUUUAUCAAGUUGAUUUAGGUUAUCCUUGGGAACUCGGGCUCGACCACUGAGCCACAAUCAGAUCCAAUUGAAAUGUUUGGAUAUGAUAAACUACAACUACUGAGUGUGAUCAUUUUAUAAACCUUGAUUUAGUCUAGUUCAACUAUUGAUUAGAUUAAAUCAUGUUUCUUAAGUUAGUUCAUUUCAAUUUGAUUUCAUGAUUAGGUCUAACCUAGUCAACUAAUCUGAUUGUGCUAACCCAUGCCCCAAAUCCCAUGUUCAAAUUUAAAUUUUAAUUCAAAUUUCAAAUUUUGAAUUUUAAAUCUUUAAUUGAAAUUCAAAUUUUAAAUUUUAAAUUCAACAUUUAAUUCUUAAUUAAAUGUAUUAUGAUCAUGGAUUCAAGGUGUCAAUUUAUUCCAAAUACAAACAAUUUAUAUUUAAAUUUUGUGGUCAUAAUAAAUUUAAAACUGAAAUUUUAUAAACAUCUGCAUAAUUUCACAAAAAUAAACUAUUUAUUUUAUGAUACAAAUUAAUCUCAAUCUUGUGCUAGGACAACCUUUUCACUAUAAGGGGUUAAUCUUAUAGCAGGACAACUUUAUAAUUCAGCACAAGAUUGAUAUUUUAUCAUUAAAUCUAGAUCUAAUCUAAAUUUAAAAAUUAAAUCAUGCAUAAUUCUAGAUAUUAUAGACCCAUUCCAUCAGCCAACCUGGCUCUGAUACCAGUUGAAGGGAGAAUUUCCCGAGUUGUCUGAUAAAAUCGGACGCCAGGCAUGAAAAAUCAGUUUUAAAAUUUUUAUUUAUAACAAUUAUAAAUAUUAAACAUACUAAUAUGUAAAACAUACCUCGAUCCCGUAGCAGAAGUUGGAUGAGGUAUGCCGGAUCUGGAUCUGAAUCCCUGAAGGUAGCUCUGCGAGGCCUGGAUCUGCAGGUCCUCUACUUCGCACGCACGUCGAGCUUCGUAGGAAGGUAGGAUGACUUUGAUAUUCGUGCAAAACAUCUUUUGCAAAAGGGACCCUAGAAGAAAAGAAAUUCCCUUUUCUUUUCUUCUCUUUCUUUUCCUUUUCCCUAACAGCAAUCACUAUUUUCUUUUCUCUCCCGUUUCUUCACGGCACGCCCGAGAGCAGUAACGCCUGAGUUUGAUCCUGAUCACAGAGGAAGAGGGAAGGCAGGAGAGAACGCCGGAUCUGAGCCGGACUCCAUACCACCAGAGAGAGAGAACUUCUUCCUCUCUCUUCUUCUUCUUCGCUAAAUCAAGACUACCUCUCUCUGUCUGAUGUUUUCUUCCCAAGAAAAAAAAUUCUCUUCUUCUUCUUCUUUGAGGAAACGGUGGCCUACAAAUAGGCCAAUGCCGAGAGGAGUUAAGAGGCGUAAAUGGCCGAGCAUUAUUGUAUUCAUUCGUUAUCUAAUAUGAAUGAAUUUCAUAACGUUUGUUUCAAAAACAACCAUGGGAAAAAAACAGCGAUUAAUGCCGAUAACUGCCGUAUUUCAAAAAUCAAAUUGAACUGGAAUGUAGCCGGUUCAAAACUGAACAUUCCAGUCCAAACGGCAAUCCAAAUGGAGUCCGGAUGGCGACAUGGCGUGGUUUUGAAGCAUCGGCGGAAAAUUCUCUGUUUUCUCCCAGGGUUUCUCUCAUCGCGGUUCACAGGACACUUCUUAAGGGUCCAUAGCUUUUAUCCAUUGCGGUUCAUAGGGGACGCUUAAGGUCCAUGGGAGCUUAAGGGUCCACAGGUCCAUGGGUUAUUUAAAUUGGGAUCGGGUCAGCAGUUCAAUCAAUUGGGUUAGCCUACUUGGUUCUAAACCAAAUUGAUGGCCCAAUUGAAUGAUUUUUGACCAAAAAAAAUUCCACAUGAGUCCGACUCAUGGGAGGUUCAAUUGGGUCCAGUCUCGGCUCGAUCCAAGUCCGACUUAGAUCAAAAUAAAUACGAAAUUAAAUCCCAAUUAAAUCAUGAUCGAGCUCAAUUACUCUAAUUAAGACCCAAUCAAACCCAAUCUCAACAAUUGAGUCCUGAUCAAGUUCCAUUACAUUAAAUGAAACUUGAUUGAUCCUAAAUACAGACUUAAUUAGUUGUUCAUCCAUGAAAUUUAGCAUGUACCUCAUGUUCAGUGCUAGCUGAACAUAGACAGAACCAAAUUCCAAAUGACCCAUAAUUUAAUUCUUAAUUAAAUUGGGUCAAGACCUUCCUACUUAGCUCGACUAAUGUGCGUGACCCCGAUAGGUUCGAACACUAAGCCGAUAGUACAUGGACUACUUCAUGCACUAAUCGAGGUGACCAUCUAGCAAUGUACCCGACGUCCGGAUAAGUCGAAUAUGCAAAGCAACAUUCAANNNNNNNNNNNNNNNNNNNNNNNNNNNNNNNNNNNNNNNNNNNNNNNNNNNNNNNNNNNNNNNNNNNNNNNNNNNNNNNNNNNNNNNNNNNNNNNNNNNNNNNNNNNNNNNNNNNNNNNNNNNNNNNNNNNNNNNNNNNNNNNNNNNNNNNNNNNNNNNNNNNNNUCCAAGGUUUUACUUAAUCGAAAUACAACGAGACAUCAACUCCUAUAAUCUGAAGCGGUCAAUCCCAUCUUGACUCAUACACAGACUUCGCGAGUACUUGACUGCACCCAGCAUCCUUCCGAUCCCUGAAUUAGAAAUUCAGGUCGUCCAGUGCCUAAGUACAUUGAGUUGCUUUCAAGUCACCGUGACAGUCUCAGGUCUAAGGGGUACUUAUGCCCAUACGCUUUGCUAGCUAACUCCUGAGAGUGGAGUGCUACGCAGGUGAGUCACUGUUUAGUGACGAUGUACUCCUACAUCUCACCUGUAUGCCAUACAGUGUCUCCACACUUCUUGGUUUAAGAGGACAACCAACUAAAUAGCACACAACGACCUAUACUUGACUAGCUAUCGUCUAAUUGACAGCUCAUCAUUUGGUCGCGAACUGGUUUAAGAACUAAAUGAUAAAACCUCCUUUAUCCACUAAAUUAGUCCUAAGGACUUCAUCACAAUACACAGGAGUUCAAUUUGAAGAUGUAACACUUGUGAUGAAUAGAAAAAUGCCAGAAUAAAUUUUUAUUCAUUUUAAUAAAACAUAUACAUACACCAAUUUCUUACAAUUAAAAAAUUGGCUUUGGGACACAAUUCCCAACAAGUUCCGCAUCCUUGCCAACAGCAACCUGGUGAAGACAACUGCCAUUAACAACACAACCAGUGGUUGUUUGCAAUAAGAGAUGUUAACAACCUGAGGUUAGGGUUUUGGACAUCUAGAUGAAUGGGAAGGAAAGAAUAUUCAGCAAGAAAGGCUCAAAGAAUAAGGGGUGAAGAAAAAUAGUGAGAGCUCAGAGAAAAUACAAGUUUCUCAAACUCCUAGAGGCCUCAUGCCCACUUCGUCUUACACGAAGGAAAACAAAACAGCGAAGAAGGCAGCAUUCUUUUAUUCAUUGUAAAAUUCAUCUGAGCAAAUCUUAGGACCAGCCACUUUACGUAAGAAUAAGUGGCAAAUUUUUUUCAAAAAAAAAAAGAAAGUCCCCUACUUAAAAAAUAGUUUACAUAAAAGUCCCUAUAAAGUUUAAAACAAGUCCAAACCCUCACAACUGCUAACAUAAAACAAUACCUAAUGAUAACUAGAGACUCAAAUGACAACUAAAAGCUACUCAUCUUUCAUCCAAAGACUUUUGAUCCUUUGUCAGCGCCUUUGGUAAGUCUUGAAAAGGCUCCAUGAUCUCCAUCACAUUCCCUAUCUCCAUCUCCAAGGGUUCAGCUUCUUUCCCUUUUGAUGGUUUAUAUAGAUCCUUGGCAACAAGAUAAUUCAAAAAAGGCCCCUUCAACAAAGAAUGGAAUCUGGAUGACAAACUUCUAAUAAGUCAAUUUUUAAGAAUGAGUAUUGCAAUAUGUGCCCUCUUGAUCUCUUGUGGAAUGAAACAAGGGUUUCUUUGAUUACAAGCACAAAUACACAAUAUAGCAUCAAUUACUUUGCUUUAGGGCCUUUUUGUAUGUAUUUGAUGGAAAACUAUUUCAUUCCAUGCAAACUUGCAACCUCUAGAAACACCAACAUAAACCAUGAGACGGACACAAGGAGCAUUAGGAAGAACUAAAGCAAGCACAAAUAUCUCCAUGACACCCCUCGCCCCCUCUCCCCAAAACCAUUCCCCGCUCACCUUAAAGAAAAACAUAAAAGAAGCCGAAAGACAAUUCUUGCUCUACAGCAUAGCCAAGGCUUGAAAAAGAUUUUUGAUGAAAUCUAACUCCACCACUGAGCCACAGCAAAUCCUGGUAGGUUUAAAUAGUGCCCAGGCUAGGCAAUACUUCCAUAGAUUAAAUGUUUUAAUUAUGAUUAGAAGAGCUAAUCCUAAUUGAUCUUGUAAUAGGUCUGCCGCAAAACAGAUGCAUUUUUUUCUCAAGUGAUUCAUAUUGUCAAGUUCACCCAUUCCAAAAUUCAUUGAGAUCAAUUGAUCAGCAGCAGCCAAUAUAUCUCAUGGCAACAGAAAUAUAAACUAGCAAUGCACCCAACAGAAACAUUGCAUGAUCAUUGAUGAGAAUAAGAGGGACGUAAAUAGAACAGAAAUAAAGCUACCAACAGAACAUUUUAAUAUUCUUUAGUGGCCCUAUACCUAUAUAUUGGACUAAUUUCUUGUGAUUGAUUUAGCCAGAAAUUAUAGAAACAUAAUGUAGAGCAACAUGUCAUGAAAUCUAUUUGACAACAAAAAUUUGUCGUAUGUAUACAGAAAAGCAUAUCUCAUUUGUCUUAGAUGGUAGAAUAAUCUGCCAAGGAAAAUGUCCUAAAAAGAAAUAAAGCCUAUCACCAGAUUGAAAAUUCAAUUGAAAGAAGGGAGAAGGGUCCAAAUAUGUUCCCAUGUCUUCCAAAUCAAUGUAAACUAACUUAUUUAACAUUUAACCCAUGCAUCUCUGUAUUUAGAUUGCUCACACCAUGGGUUUAAAUCCCAUGGGACAAGGGUGUCCUAGUUUCUCCAUGGAACAGGAUGCCCCAUUGUCCUGCCCCAUCCCGGCAGCUGUCUUGAUUAUACAUCUUAGUAAAUAUCCUCCAUCUCUCUCCCCUUAUUCUUUCCUUUCUUUCUUUCUUUCUUUCUUUUUCUUCUUUCUUUCAUUCCUUUCUUUCUUUUUCUUCUUUCUUUCAUUCCUUUCUUUCUUUUUUUCUCUACCUUCCUUUCAUUCCUUUCAUUUUUCUUUUCUACCUUCCUCUCUUUCCUUUCCUUUUUCUUUCAUUUUCUUAUCCCUUUAAUUCUUUUUUCCUUUCUCUUCUUCUUUCUCAUUCCUUUCUUCCUUCUUUCCUUCCUUUUUUUUUCUUCUCCCUUCCUUUCCUUCUUUCCUUUUACUUCUUCUUCUUCUUUCCUUUCACUUUUUCCUUUUCUUCAUUUUUCCUUCCUUUCUUUUUAUUUUCUUUUUCGUCUCUCCACGUAUGGAUGGGUUUUGGAGUCCCGACACCGUCUCAGUCCCAUUUUUUCACAAGAAUGUGACGAGACGAUCAGGAUGCCAGCAUCCCGCCAGGACUUAAUGUUGGCUCACGCUACCUUGGUUCUAGAGAUGAGGAUGUCAUAAGCAAGACUAAAAAGUGCAUUAAAUGGAGACGCCUCUAGCAUCUUGUUGGAUUCGUUUGAUGCCUAAAAAAUUUUCUAACAUGGAAAUAAAACAAGGAAAACCCAUGAUCCAAAUGGGGUGGCAUCAAAUCAGCAGAACUAGGACUGUUGUUGUUUCUUCAUCACAGUUACUUUCCGGUCUAGACUUGUUCUCACAUAUAUAGUGAUAAGCAUGUGCACAAGUUAGAUGGAUUAUCAUGGUACAUAGUGGUGUUUUAAAAUACAGUGUAUGUGGCUACAUAUGCGAAUGCAAUCCCUUGAUUAAAUUUCAUUUCUUGCAUCCAACUACUAAAUGUCAUUAGACCGCAUGUAGGCCAAAAUGGUGGUCCAUUGUUAUGCAUCUCCAUGUGAAUAGGGCAAGGUGAGUUUGAUGGUUAGGUUGCAUGGGGAUUUCAAGCUAACUAGCUACAUAAUGGUUAUAACCAUGGAUUGCUAAACCAUGCCAAACCAGUCAGUCUAGGGCAUGCUGAACCAGACCAGUCAGUUACUGGCACGGUUCAGCCUCUAAAUUCGAAUUAGGCUUAUAAAUUCAUUUACCAACUCAGGUUUUCUUCUCGAUCUCUCUCUCCCAUUCGCCCACACAACACACUCAUCUCACCCUCGCCAACUAAUAGGUAAGCCCUCUAUUGGUUCGAUCACUUCAUUCAAUCUCCCCCACCUGUUCAUUCAAUCAUUCGAAACUCGAGACCUUUGAUGGGUCUCAUUCGCUUCGCCUCGUCGCCAACAC
rnacentral:lncRNA from 1 species